rnacentral:rRNA from 1 species
AACGAACGCUGGCGGCACGCCUAACACAUGCAAGUCGAACGAGAUCUUCGGGUCUAGUGGCGCACGGGUGCGUAACGCGUGGGAAUCUGCCCUUUGGUUCGGAAUAACAGUUGGAAACGACUGCUAAUACCGGAUGAUGACGAAAGUCCAAAGAUUUAUCGCCAGAGGAUGAGCCCGCGUAGGAUUAGCUAGUUGGUGUGGUAAAGGCGCACCGAGGCGACGAUCCUUAGCUGGUCUGAGAGGAUGAUCAGCCACACUGGGACUGAGACACGGCCCAGCCUCCUACGGGAGGCAGCAGUGGGGAAUAUUGGACAAUGGGCGAAAGCCUGAUCCAGCAAUGCCGCGUGAGUGAUGAAGGCCUUAGGGUUGUAAAGCUCUUUUACCCGGGACGAUAAUGACAGUACCGGGAGAAUAAGCUCCGGCUAACUCCGUGCCAGCCGCCGCAGUAA